CGUUUUGUUUACAUCUCCAACACAUAUUGCUGUUAUUUUUAUUUAUUUUUGCUAAUUUGGAUGAAAAUAACAGCAACAUGUGUUGGAGAUGUAAACAAAAUG